rnacentral:rRNA from 1 species
CCUACGGGAGGCAGCAGUGGGGAAUAUUGGACAAUGGGGGGAACCCUGAUCCAGCCAUGCCGCGUGUGUGAAGAAGGCCCUCGGGUUGUAAAGCACUUUCAGUGAGGAAGAACGCCUGGUGGUUAAUACCCAUCAGGAAAGACAUCACUCACAGAAGAAGCACCGGCUAACUCCGUGCCAGCAGCCGCGGUAAUACGGAGGGUGCGAGCGUUAAUCGGAAUUACUGGGCGUAAAGCGCGCGUAGGUGGCUUGAUAAGCCGGUUGUGAAAGCCCCGGGCUCAACCUGGGAACGGCAUCCGGAACUGUCAAGCUAGAGUGCAGGAGAGGAAGGUAGAAUUCCCGGUGUAGCGGUGAAAUGCGUAGAGAUCGGGAGAAAUACCAGUGGCGAAGGCGGCCUUCUGGACUGACACUGACACUGAGGUGCGAAAGCGUGGGUAGCAAACAGGAUUAGAUACCCCUGUAGUC